GCGAGGGGGAGGAGUUAUCCCAAUCCCGGGGACGAGCGGCUACAGAGAAAGGAUAACUGUAGCCGAGUGCCAGAUGAAAUGGUGCUAAUAAAUCUGAUUAAAAAACUACAAUGGUUAACAGGUAUUUAUGUUGAAUUCCAAGACUUCAGAUAAAGUUGUGUGAUUUAACGGGGUUAAAAUUUGGUGUCCAGACAAAGGAAUUCAACGUGGGUCUGCUCUUUUUGAUUGAACAAUCAUCCCACGUGGGGAACAGGAGUCAUAAACUAAACCUUCACACCUCCUUCACCAACCAGACUUACUUUUGUAAAUGCAUGCAUUUCAUUAGUGUAGAUACAAUGCCUUGAUCAGACAUUACAAUGGGCUGCUUCGACUCAUCCAUGGGUCCAAUGGGGAUAGUCAAGGGUUACUGGUGUGCCAGUGGACUGUUUGGGAUGUUUCUGGGACUGACGAUUUUAUUUACGGUCAUCCAAGCCAGCCCACACGUCGCAGACAAACACUGGUUGGAUUCCCUCACAGCAGACAGUUUGCCUUCUGACGGCCCAAACUUGCGAUUCUCCCCUCAAAAUCGACCAGUCUCCUUCACUGCAGCAUCGCUAGACCCUGAAUCUACUGCAGUGACACAAUCCUCCGACGGCCAGCCACAGGAGCCGACACUAAACUCUGGUUCUGAUGCUGCUGACAGGGCACUUUCCCACUGGGGCCUUUCACCUUCUCAAAACCCCAAAGCCUUUAC